GUUAGAGAGUACAGUUAUGGUUAGAGAGUACCAUUAGGGUUAGGGAGUAAAGUUAGGGUUAGAGAGCACCAUUGGGUUAGAGAGUACAGUUAGUGUUAGAGAGUACAGUUAGGGUUAGAAAGUACAGUUCAGGUUAGACAGUACAGUUAGGGUUAGAGAGUACAGUUAGGGUUAGAGAGCACAGUUAGUGGUAGAGAGUACAGUUAUGGUUAGAGAGCACAGUUAUGGUUAGAUAGCACUGUUAGGGUUAAAGAGCACAUUUAGGGUUAAGGAGUACAGUUAGGGUUAGAGAGCACAGUUAGGGUUAGAGAGUACAGUUAUGGUUAGAGAGCAAAGUUAGGGUUAGAGAGUACAGUUAGGGUUAGAGAGUACAGUUAGGGUUAGGGAGCACAGUUAGGGUUAGAGAGUACAGUUAUGGUUAGAGAGCACAGUUAGGGUUAGAGAGCACAGUUUGGGUUAAGGAGUACAGUUAGGGUUAGAGAGUACAGUUAGGGUUAGAGAGCACAUUUAGGGUUAAGGAGUACAGUUAGGGUUAGAGAGCACAGUUACGGUUAGAGAGUACAGUUAGGGUUAGAGAGUACAGUUAUGGUUAGGGAGUACAGUUAGGGUUAGAGAGCACAUUUAGGGUUAGAGAGUACAGUUAGGGUUAGAGAGUACAGUUAUGGUUAGGGAGUACAGUUAUGGUUAGAGAGUACAGUAAGGGUUAGAGAGCACAGUUAGGCUUAGAGAGUACAGUUAGGGUUAGAGAGCAC